rnacentral:rRNA from 1 species
AGAGUUUGAUCCUGGCUCAGGAUGAACGCUAGCGGCGGGCUUAAUACAUGCAAGUCAAGGGGUAGCAAUACACCGGCGUACGGGUGCGUAACGCGUAUGGAACCUGCCCUUAUCUGGGGGAUAACUCGGGGAAACUCGAGCUAAUACCGCAUAAGAUAGUAGAAUGGCAUCAUUCAGCUAUUAAAGAUUUAUUGGAUAAGGAUGGCCAUGCGUAAGAUUAGAUAGUUGGCGAGGUAACGGCUCACCAAGUCUACGAUCUUUAGGGGCUCUGAGAGGAGAAUCCCCCACACUGGCACUGAGAUACGGGCCAGACUCCUACGGGAGGCAGCAGUAGGGAAUAUUGGGCAAUGGGCGGAAGCCUGACCCAGCCACGCCGCGUGCAGGAAGACGGCCCUCUGGGUUGUAAACUGCUUUUAACUGGGAAGAAAAGAGGCCUUGCGAGGCAAGUUGACGGUACCAGUUGAAUAAGCCACGGCUAACUACGUGCCAGCAGCCGCGGUAAUACGUAGGUGGCGAGCGUUAUCCGGAUUUAUUGGGUUUAAAGGGAGCGUAGGCGGCUGAUUAAGUCAGCGGAGAAAGGUAGCAG